ensembl:lncRNA
UAACAGUAGUAAUACCUCAUAGUACGGAGGUAACAGUAGUAAUACCUCAUAGUACGGAGGUAACAGUAGUAAUACCUCAUAGUACGGAGGCAACGGAGAACUAGUUAAAUCCCUGUUUUCACUUUGAUUUUCGUCUCCAGAAGGACCGAAGCAUCACAGCUUUGAGGAUUCAGGUUUUUUCAGGCUCUUUAUCAUCGGGUAUCUUUGUCCAUGACAAGGCUUUCGUGGAGGUCAAAGGUCGCCUGCAUUGAUCAUGAGUGAUGCAGUAAAUCUGUCUCAAGGGUAUUUUCCUCCUCCUCAUGUAUUCUACAUGUUACAUGAGACACAAAAGGGAGCAUUGUCAUGUUAUCUCUUCUACAAAGCGCAUAGAAGGUUUUACUAGAGCUUAAACGUCUUUUAUUUUAAAAGGCGUUUCUGUGUUUCCUGCAGAUCACCUUCACACCUCCGUGUUUUCACAACUGCAGGAUUUGUUCUUCAUCGGCAGAGUGGAGGGUUGGAGGAGAGGCCUCGGUCCCCGGGAAGCCUCCAUCGCAGAAACAAAGACGCACCAAAAGACAACGGUAAGCCACCGUGAAAAAAGAGCUCAGCAUCAUCUUGUUUGCAGCGUGACGACACCACCACCUCCUCCUUCGCCUCCGCCUCCUCCUCCACCUCCCGCAGGACCGCAGACGGCGAACAUACCAAAGUGUAAUUAUGGGAAGCCUCGGAGGGACGACCCGACACCGGGCUGAUUAGAAAACUUAUUUACGUCUUCAAAAGAAAGUGACUUCAUGAUGUCAUCAGACUGAAGAGAGUUAUCAUCGUGAACAGCGACUGCUCUCAGAUCAGCCGGAGGGUCCGACUCUCUCGCUCUCUCCAGGUGGGAAGUGAGUCCAUACAGAUGCUCCUCAAAGACCAAUUUUAUUUAGUUCUUGGUAUGAACUCAGCAGUUUAUAUGUAAAGCUAUAUAAAACUAUUCCUGCUAUAAAACUAGAUACUAUUUUAAAGUAAUUGUGAUGUAUUCAAGGAAUUUAUUUUAUUAAUUUUCUCUGUGGAAGGAAACUUAAAAUGUACCCAGAUGAGUCGUGAACAGAAUUUUAAAUCAAAUAUCGGUAAAACUAAAAGUGGAAUAAAUGUCUAGCGGCCAAUGUUUGACAACCUUCUUUGUUUUUUUUUUAUUGUCAUCAGUACUUUCCAAAUUUACUUUAAUGACAUCAUGUUGAUUGAAGUUAUGAACUCAUUUGUUUUCUUAAAAGUGUAUUUUGUGUACGUCCUAAAUGGAAACAACUGACUCAAGUUUUGUUUUUCUCUGUUGGAUUCCGUGUGCAGGACUCGGAAUCCAAUCCAGGUUUUUUUAAAUGUUUUUUUUUGUGACAAAUUAUGAGCUGGUAUUGACAUAUCUCAUAUUUGAAAUGUUUUGAAAGUUUGGCAAAACGGAAAUAAAACCUGUGACAUAAAGAAAAGAGAAAUGGUGUUGCGUGUGGUUUUGGUGGUUAUUGAUUUCCCAAGAAAGAACUGUAAAUUAAAUAUUGUGUGUUAGAAUUGCUGGAAUAUAAGAUACACAUUCAAUUCAGACUAAUAAAGACAGCCCAUUGCGAGGUGGAACAGAGGAUAAACUCCUUUCUCUCUUACUUUGGUCAAACUUUCCUGAAUAUUCCUGAAACAAAGAGAAGAAAGGAGAUAAAUCAGUAACGAGAGUGAGUUUGCUCCACGCCGGAUCCAUGGGGCGAUGUGAUGUAAUAUUGAUGACCCUGCUCGUCUCCUGACGACCUCCGUUUGGUCGUCUCAUGUUUUAUCAAAUAUUUAUCAAGCUCUGCGUCCCCUCAGAUCCCAUAAUGCAUCUGUAAUGUCCUGUCAGGUGAGGCAUGAUGGGAGAGGUGAUGAUGGAGUGAAGCUCCUGGCGGGACGGAGGAGGGUAAUUUCUGAUCACAGCUUGUUCCUCUCUUCCUUUUCUCUUCCCCUAAAGUUCUCAAGCUGAAACUGACGGGGACCUGAGGAGGAACCCUGAGGAACACCCAGCUAACAAUACAUCUAUCCUCCUGCUGCCUGAUGUAAACCUUUUUGGUGUAAAGGUUACUGUGUGUUUCUUUUUCUUUUAUGUUAAUUUUGUGCAUGACAAUGAAAAGGUCCUGCGUCCAUUGUUUGUUUGAUUUCAAUGGAUUUUAACAGUUAACUGAUUACAACAAAUCGUGUCUGAACUCUUCAUCGUGUCCUUGUCUGGAUAUUCAUCGCUUCAAUCAUUUGCUCUCUCACUCGUCUAACUUUCUUCAUCGUUCUUCACCUCCUUUCCCCUCCUUCUUUCGGCCUCCUGCUGUUUUCUUAUUUAUCACCAUCUCUAAUAUCUCCUCUCUCUCUCUCCUCCGCCCCCCCCCGGCCCUCAUUAACACGAAGCCCUGAUGGAUGUCGGGGCGAGGCCCGACUCAACCUCGACUUUGCUCCCGCCCCUGAUGCUCUGUGCAGGAAAGCGCUCACCUCUCGGCAGGGGUGGCCGUUUCGGUUGCUACAGGAGGGGGGGGGGGGGCACCGCCCGCCAUCUGCCGCCACCUCCCCCCCCCAACGCAACGGCAGCUCGCCACAACUGUCGCUGUCGCCCCGACGCAGCUUGGAGACCGAGGUGAUGAUGGGAAAGAGGACCUGAUGUUGAUGAUACGUUCGGGACCCACGCGGAAUAUUGUGCGUGCUAACUUCCGGCAAGGAUAUGUGAGACGUCCAAAGGUGGAGUCGGGUCACUCGUCCGUGAAACAAGCUUGUAUGUCAUGCGACAUAAAACCCAACAGAAUGAUAUGAAUGAUGUUCCGUCAUCAUCAGAGGACGGAUCCUUACAGUUCUCGUCACCCUCAUGUUCUCGUACCAUCAAGAGUUCAGCGGCCGUUUGGAAAGGAUGCUGCGUCCAGGUGCGUGGAUGCUAAAUCUGACUUAGUGUGCAGACGAGGUAAUACACACGGGACUCACACGUUGAGGAUGUUUAGUGUAGUUAAUGUGUUGUGUGUCUCAUGUUGAGUGUGUUCAAUGUGUCACAUAUUCAGUGUAUUUAACGUGUUGUAUGUUCAGUGUGUUCUAACGCGUCACAUGUUCGAUGUGUUUAGCGCGUCGUGUGUUUUCUCUGUCACAUGUUCAUCGUCUUUCAAAGUUGUCCAGCCUCUGGUGUCCUCUCCAACUUCCUGAUCUCAGCUCGUGUUGCUGUUGAUGCUACUGAUGAUGAUGAUGAUGAUGGUGAUGAUGCAGAUGACCACAGAGUCAUUAUCAUUCUCUCCACUCCCACAAUCCUCUGCUCCAACUCCAAUUACCGUGUGAUUGUAUGCUUGGCACCGAAAACAUAAUUAACAACGAGCGUCUCUGCCAAAACUAAGCAGCCAACACGCCGUUUGUGUGGCGCGUUCGAUCCGCACGCAGGAAAAAGCAAACACAACAACGGCAACAACAACAACAACAACGGCCACACAAAACAGCUCGCCCGUUUUUUUUUUUUUGGGGGGGUUCAGAGGCAGAGCGGCGGCUCCGCGCUCCCCAGAGGCCCGACGCUAUUCGCCGUAAUGGCGUCGUCGGCUCGGCACUCUUCCCUCUGAUGGACCGCAGGCUGCUGCGGGAGGACACUUUGUGGUGCGGACAAGAGGAAUUAUGGGAGAGCACGCCAAGAGAGGCCCGCGGGGAGGCAGGGAUGUGUGCGUUAUCAGGCUUUAAAACACAGAGUGAGAGAUAUCGGUGGAUCACAAACACAAAUGUGCUUGUUAGAGGCUGUUAAAGUUUGGACACGUACAUCUCACACACACACAGGCGCACGCACACACACGCACGCACACACUGUGUGUGUGUGGUCCAGGCCGAUAUCCUGGACCGAGUCUUAGAUUCAAAAGUAAUUAACUUGAGAAAGCUAAAUAAAGUUGUAACAACCCAGCAAGUUAUCAUGUCACUUCAGAGACGAGUUGAUGUGUCAUGAUGAGAAAAGUUAGUUGCUUUAAGAAGAGUUCAGGAACAUAACGGGAAAGGAAGUAUCCUCAUGCCAGAAACGGAGCAAACAUCUCUAUAUUUGACGCCCCCCCACACACACGCAUACGGUCUUUUCCAAAAAAGAUUCCAUCUUAAAAUUAAAAAACAAACAUUGGUCUCCCAACGGUAAGACACUUCCACCUCUCCGACCGCCCCGUGUGUGUCAUGCGUGCUAGUGUGGCUCUGUAAACCUCCUCGUUAAACCUGGAGAACAUAGUAAAUCAUUUUAUGGAAAAUCCGAGAAUUAUGCUGCAUUCCUUUUUGUCGAUAUGACUAAGAAUGCUGUAUGAAAUCCCCCUGUUCUAUUUCAUAUUUGAAGGUUUUUUUUUUUAUCACCACCUGUGAAUAAUUUCGGGAAGGACAAAGAGUCACAUAUUUCCAUGCUUGUACACCUAGAGUACCGUACAUACUUGGUGGAUUAAAUUACACACCAGGAUACUGUUCAUCAUCUUCAUGCGCGCUAAUGCAAACGUGCAGGCGUGUUUGCACAAACAGACAAAUCUGUCCGAUAAACCACAGAAACACAGAAAGAGACUUGGAGAAGCAAACAUGCUCCAAAGCAUCGCUGGGAAAGAACUGCAGCUGUGCAGAAACACGUGUACGUACAACACUAUUGUGUGUGCGUGAAUCCAUCAUAUCUCAUCAGCAGAACAACCAGGAAAACAAUGUACGACUGUGUGUGUGUGUGUGUGCGUGCGUGCGUGCAGAUUGUGGAAUCAGCAGAAAGAGGCUGCAGCUUCUUCUUCUUUUCUUUUUUAUUUAUCGGGUGGCAGCGAGUCGCUGCUGCUUAUUUACAGCAGAUUGUUUCUCCAGAUGUUUUACAGGGAGAGAAAUCCCUAAACACACACACUCCUCUCUUUGUCCAGAUGGAAGUCAUUCUUUAUAAGACUCCAUAAUCCCCCCCCCCCUCCUCCCCCUCUCUCUGCGAGAGGAAACACAGGGAAGGUGGAAGUGAAGCGUCUCCUCCUCUCCGUGUCACUGAUGUUCUCCAGUUGUGUCGACAUGUUUUUUGGUGAAACUCUCUUGACGCCUGAAAAUGUUUCAACUGAGGGUUUGAAAGAAGCAGAUUUGUGUACUUCAACCAUUUGAGUGGAUUGAAGCGCAGUGAGUGAAGAGACAGCGGCUGAAGGUAGAUGAGCACGUUGGUGUUCCCACCUCCUCUGUUUCCUCCACUAUUACAUCAGCGGUGAAUAUCACUAACCCUGCACACAGUACACCUGUCUGUCUCCAGAUGUGUUUACUCUGAAUCAUCAACGCUAGCGCAGUCGUGACAUCAUUUCCUGUUUUGUCUUGACCUUUUUUUAACCCGAGAGUUUUGGCGUUUUUUAGCCGCCUUGGAUGAAGGCCGCAGCCAUCUUUGGAUCGCGGGAGGCGAAGAUACGGUGUAUUUUGAUUUAGGAUGAGUCAGGUAGAGACCUGUCAAUCACAAGGUGGCCCCGCUCUCAUAUUAAUGCAGCCUUUUCUCUUCUUCUAACAGUUGCCAAAAGUAUUUGUAUUUAAGAUAUUCCCAUUGUUUCCGACAGCUUUGUUCUUAAACAAGUCGUAACUUUGAUAUCUAAUUUGUGUAAAGAGGAGACAAAUGACAGAGGAGCUCAACUUCAACGUGCAUAACAAAGAGAUUUCAUAAUAUUCCCACAGCUUUAUUGGAAAAACAUCCACCUCUGUGAAGUCCAAGUUUCCUGUGAGAUUUCCCCCAAAACAAGAGCUCAUUUUUAAACUGAACUACAAUAGAAAGUCUUUGUUCUGAGUCUCUGUAUCGCUGCUCCUCUCAGUCUUUCCCUCCCUCUUGCCCACACUGAGGGAGAAAAAUAACAAAAAAAAUAAAUAAAAUAAAGGAAAUGGCAGAUUGAUGAAAAGCCAAACUAGUCCCACGAUGACACGUUCUUCUUCUCUCCACAAUAUUAAAAACUCCCACACGUUUCAGGAGGAGGGCAGAAUUAGCCUUGCCGGGACACACUGUAAACCGCCGUAAUGACUCAUUUGUUUCAUCCUGAUAGAUGGCUCUCCGGAUGGAAGAGGACCUCGUCUAAAAAAAAGAAAAAGAUGAAAUGAAAAGGCGGCGGGGCGAAGGACGGCGUGUCGAAUCACGGAGAAAAGUCUACGGCUCGCCGCUUCAAAGAGGGCUCGGACCACCGGGGGACGCUCCGAGGGGCGAAGAGGAGGCCAUAAAAAAUCCUCUAAACAAGGAGCCAACACACACACACACACACACUCACACACUUUGAAGCCGCUGUUUCACCGCGUGCGGGGGGGCAGGUGGUGCUGAUGAAUAUUCAGACGGAGGGUCGGCACUCUGCUGCCAAACAAACCGCCUGUUUGCUUUCUGUCACCUUCCAAAUUCUGAUAUAUUGUUUUCUUCUCUCGGCGCGACUCAGAUCAGAUGUUUGAUGUUUGUUUCCGUUGGUCUGGACCACACGGGGGCGCAGGUGAUAAUCGGGUGAUUAUCAAGUCAAUUACCGGGUGGUGUGCAGGUGAUGCUCGGGAGAAACCAGGCGGUGACCUCCGGUUCUGACGAGUAAAGCCAAAGCUUCACGUGUCAGAACUGCAUUCUCUCGAAUGACCACAAGGGGGCGACUCCUUUGGUCCUGUAAAAGUCUACGAGAAAAUGACUCUCUUCUUCUCCAUUACUUCUCGUGAUGUCUCUUGAGUAAAUUAUGGUCCACUCCAAAUAUGACUCCACCACACACACUAUCACUGGUUGCAAAAAACAAGAUGGCAUUUGAGGCUUAAAAAUCUCCGUGCACAGAACAAUGGAUGACAUCAUCGUCAUGACCACAGUUCAAUAUAUUACAACCGACACUGCCGUUUAUUUUAUUCCGUAACGUAAAGUCAACAUUGACUUUUUUACACAGGACACGAACAACAAUGUCCUGGGGUAAAGUGCUGUGUUUGCUUGACCCAGCUACCCUGCGCACGUCACUCAGAUUAAAAUACGUAUCCCUGGUUCAUAGAAACCUGCCAGGACGUUAAAUAAAAAAUAAUAAAUACAUGUGUGUUUUUUUAUUUAUUUUUGUGCGAUGCAGCUCUGUCACAGGCCGAUAGCCGCCGCAGCCGAAUGUACUUCUUCUUCCUCUGCUCGGCUGUAUUCCAUAUGCUUCAUCAUUAAAAACCGCGGCUGCCGUAAAGGAUUCAUGUAGAAAUGUUGAAUCGAGCAGCGGGCCUCCACUGAGACGACAGAUGUUGGUGCGGAGACAAUUAAUUAACAAGCCUCUGAAAGCCGGCGAGAGUUUGGACGUCCUGGUCCCGGAGAUGUGGCUGUGAUCCGGGGGUCCGCCCCCGGGAUUCUAUCUCCCCCUCGCUGACCAGAUAGCGUCAGCUGGGACGGAUCCAGUGGCAUCAAGCAUCAUCUCGUCUUACUCGAGGAUAUCGUCGUUGUGUUCAGGAACGUUGACUAACCAGAGCUGCCAGCGGGGAGGAGUAAAAUGCAUCACCGUUAGAGUUCAUCUAAUCAAAGCACGGGAAUACUUGUGCUGCCAUAUCAUUUUAUAUCAAAGGACAUUUUCCUGUAAAUAAAUGACAAAUGAAUGAAACCUUGAAUUUAAUUAUUGCACUAGAAUAAAUGUGCAAUGGAAUAGUAUUCAUGCCACCAUAAUAAUUGUAUGGCAUUAGAAUAGAUGUAUUUAUUUCACUUGCAAUAUAUAUAUGUGUAAAUGUAAUCACCCCAAUAGAAGGUAAAAAUAACGCCAUCAGACAGUUGAUCUGCUGCAGAUCAUGAUUCAGUUUCCCCAACCCUGCAAUCAUCAGUAUUCAGCUAGCCGUUAGCAGUGGGCAUAGCACGAGUCUGAAGCUCCGUGGGCGGAUGCUAUUUGGUGAAAUGCAUCUUGGGAGUAUUCACUGACUCUUCCUUUUCACUUUUUAAGCCCAACCGGUUUGACUUUUAGCAAAGAAGGAGCUUUUUUCAGACAGUUCCUCUCCUCCUGGGCUUGAUUCAACAGGAAGACCUUCACAAUGCCGACAUCAUCAGCUCACAAUGAUGAUGUCGUGGCCGAUAGACGCCGUUUCAAGCGACCACAUCUGCAGGAGGCCAACCGCCAAUCAGUAACACCUGUUAUUCUAUCGUGUAACGCAGAGCGACGCGCACGCGCGCUCAUUCUGCUACAAACCAAAACCACAUUUACCAUCAGCCCCCUCUGACCCUGAAGAGAAACAGAAACGUUGACACUAAAUUUAAUUUUGGUGUCUGAACUGGUCGUGAUCCUGUUAUAGAUGCAUUUUGUCUGUGAGCUUUUUUAGGUGGAUUAAAACAAAUUAUUCUGGGCUAAAAUGUCGCUGAGUUCCUUUACAGCCUGACGUGAGGUCAUGUGACCAUGGUGGAGUUUCUUUACAGCCUGACGUGAGGUCAUGUGACCAUGGUGGAGUUUCUUUAUGGCCUGACGUCAGACAGAUGUCGCAUGACCACUUGUUUUGAUUAAUGAAACACAUUUUCACUUUUUUUCACUAUUAAAUAUGCAGGUAUCAAUGAACUAUUUUUUUCUUGCCUCCCAUUAAAAGAAAGCUGGAAGGUAUUUGGCUUCUUUUCAUCAUAAUUAUUUUGUGAUAUUAUUGAUAAUUACAUUAUGUAGCAAAGAAGGAGUUUGUACCAAAGAAAGCUGAAGAGUUCCUUCUCAGUCUCAAUAUUAGGGUAUGCUUAUUCUUAUUAUAAAUAACACUGGAACUAAUCAUGCCAGCAUUUAAUCAAGCACUUUGCCACCAGCUGAGCUUUAACGUCUGCCAGGUGAAAACAGUAAAACUUCAUCUGCACCUUUUUGCUAAAUACGAUCCUCUGGGGAGACGCUAAAACGUUCCUUAAUUCGAUGUUUGACAGUUCUGCACUUAAUAAAAACAGAUCUGUUUCCAUUCAGCCGCAGGAAGUGACAUCAGGACUUUAUCGUCCCCGAGAAGCUCUUUAAAAAAAAAACAAGUCGUGCCACUUUUGCCUCGGAGAAACAAAAGCCGACGUGUACGGCGCGAUUUUGUGAUUCCAAACGUGGCGACGAGGCCGCCGGUCGGGGAGGUCUGCCGCCCACGUGCUCCGCGCGCCUUCACCUUUUCGCUGUGAAGCAGUCGGUCCGAAUUAACCCGGCGCCUCGGCGACACGUUAGCGGUCCCGCCGCUAACGCUCAGCAGCUGUGUGAGUGUUUCUGUGUGUUAACAGCUCUGCCUGUGGCUCAGUCUGAUUUAACAGCUGAGAGGCUGCAGUAUAUAUAUAUAUAUAUAUAUAUAUAUAUAUAUAUAUAUAUAUAUAUAUAUGGUAUGGUAAAUACGUAUAUUUAUAAAUACAUGUUAGAGAAGAGAAGCAGCUCGGACGGUAACCUGAUGCUUAAAUUCUAUCUGGAGGACAUUUCAGAUUCAUUCAACUCAGAUGGUGAGAAGGUGUAAAUGCUCUUCAGUCAUUUUUCCUCCUGCCUGCGUGUGGAACCUCAGUGGAACGUAACUACACAAAGUACACGCUAUAACCUCCUGUAGUACUUGAAAUAUGAUAAACUAAUACAUUUAGUAAUAGAUUUAGUAUUAUUAUGAAACUCAACGGAGCAGUUUAUAAAGAAAUUAAAAUGAGCUCCUUAGCAGUUCACAUUGAAGUGAUUGUUGCAUCAAUACCACAAGAAGGAAGUACGUACAAUCGUGCGUAACGAGUCAUUUGACAAACGUUAACAUGUGGUAUACUACGAUAGCAACGCGUUAUGUAGGGGAACGUGUUGGAUCAAACAAUAUUAAAGGUGCUACAUUCAAGAAUAUGUAUAUUCCUUAUAGAAGCUAACAGCGCUAACAGGGUUCACCUGGAAGAGAACCAGAGAGUUGGGAAAGUCUUAAAGGUCUGAGGUCUCCUCCUAGCUGGAACCCUCCAAGAGGACUUGAUCGGAUCCACCUCGACUCUUUCUUCCAGUCUGUGUGUGUGUGUGUGGGGGGGGGGUCUAGAGAAGGCAAUCGAAGGCUCCGACGGCGGCGGCGCCUUCGUCCCACUUGUGUUCUUGCAGGAGACUCAGCCACGCCACGGGACGAGAUUCCUCCACCCACCUCCACCAGCAGCACGGCCUGGCCCACAUCCCUCGCUGUGUGUGGUGUGUGCCUGUGUGUGUGUGUGUGUGUGGUGGUGUGUGUGACUUCCUGUGGUCUCAUUACGUUCGGCCCGUUUCCCUCCAGCGCACAUCAGAUGUAACAAAACCAGAGGACAAAAUAAGAGCAUUACUUUUUAAAGAUGUGUCCUGAAGAAGGGAGACGGUGAUGCGCGCUGACAGCGGCUGCUAAUUGGAGUAAAUUAAUUUACCUCGGGCGCCGAUGUUCGCACAAAGCGCCGCUCGCCGCGUGAAUAAGUGAUGAUCGGCAGCGCCACGGAUAAGCCCCGACUUUUGAAUCGUUUAAAGCCGCAUUCUGCUAAUUAGCAGGGAGAAAGCCAGCUUUCAGCCACAUUAAGAUAGGCCUCUGUCAGUCAGGGGGGGGAGGAAGGGGGGGACGGGUGGGGGGUGGAGAGGGAGCGCUUCAUUUAUUCAUCCUCUGAGCAGAUGCUGAGUGCAGUGGGGGUUUGGAUGGAGAGAUGCAGGGAUGGAGAGGGAGAGCUGAGGGAUCUGAAGGCCUGGAUGGGGAUGAGGG